CCCAUAGCCCUGCUUCAUCUUCGCCCACUUCAUCUGCACUUGGCUGGUUUUAUUCUUCUUCGUUAGCGAUUCAAGACGAGCUUCAUGGAAAGUCGUUGUGGAGAAUGGUUUUAUCGAGCCGCUUGUCAUUGCUGUGAUUCCUUACGUUAUAUACUGAUUUGGCUCGGGACCAGCACUCCCCAGGUUACAUCAAACCCUUACAAGUCUGUAAGAAGAAGCAGUUGGACAGAAAGUCUUUAACUGAGUGACUUGAGACCUGAUUGCUCUAUGCUGUUGCUGAUGACUCCAGUUAAUCCUGAGAGACAUGUUGUAGUGGUUUGGGGAGCAGGAGGCAUCAUUUUCACACUUGGAUCAUCAAGUCCAUACUUUGACCCCUUUGAGAAUCUUUGGGAUGUGCUUCAUCAGUGCAAGAUCUUGUUUAAACACAAGGUGGCAGUGUUGCACUGAUAGAAAACAAACCAACAGCAGAAGCGCCCCAGCUUAGAUUCUACUUUACUCAAGUAUUUCUAUUUACUUAACUGUAUUCUGCAAUAAAUGUUGUACUUUUGU